ACCGUCACUUCGUUUCCCAACUAGUCCCAGCUAUAUUCUCAUUUCCUAAAGAGAACAAUGAAAGCAAAGGAUGAGCUCAACUAGCCCAGUAAGAAAUAUUAUGACUAAGAUAAUACAGAAUAAUUUAUCAUUAGCCUUCAACAGUGUUAAACUGAUAAAAUAAAAUAAACAUCAAGUUUAACUGCAGUGGAACAAGUAAUCCAUUAGAAGAGUCAAGUAGAGCAGAAAAUCUACUAUCUUCUACGAUUUAAAAGGUUUAUCAUCAAUUUUAUCGCUGAGACUCAGCUUAAUAAAUAAUCCACAUCAUCGAAUCACCCUUGCACUACGACCAAGGAUAUUCUUUAGUAUCACGACCAUAAAUUAUCCAUGCACUACGGGCCAAGGAUAUUCGUAUUCAUCAAUGGUCAUGAUCAUGCCAAUAAUUGUCCAUCAAUGCACUACGGGUCAAUGAGGACUUUUACCACAUCAUUUGUAAUAUUAUGGUCAUGAUUAUACCGAAUAAUCCCUGGUCAUAAUCAUACCAAGUUCAUCUAUGCACUACGGGCCAAUGAAGACUUUUACCACAUCAUUUGUAAUAUUAUGGUCAUGAUUAUACCGAAUAAUCCCUGGUCAUAAUCAUACCAAGUUCAUCUAUGCACUACGGGCCAAAGAUGAUUUUCAUAACAAUAUAAACAUGAGGAUGAUGACAAUGAUAUAAGAAUUUAAUUAAAGGAAAGCAAAGCAUAAAUUUUUAAAGAUUUAUAAUUUAAUUUAUCCAGAAUUCAAUAAUGUCCAAAUUGUCAACAUGUUACUGCUUUGUGGAGUAAAAUUCAAGAAUAAUAUUGUAUCAAAAAUGAUUUGGACCGAAAAGAAAUCAAUUUUUGUCAUGAAUAGUACCCCGGGUGAAUAGUAACCGAGUGAAUAGUACCCCAUGAAUAGUAACUUCGGGAAUAGUAACCCCGACAUGAAAAAGUUAAAACUUAUCAAGAAUGCUCAGAAUAAUAUUUCCAUGAAAAGAUACUGGAUGAAGCGCAAAUAUCAAGGACAUUCUACUAAUUUCAUGGAGUAUAGAAGCCAAAACUUUAACCAAAUGAGUAUAGAAUUCAAAAUCUGAAACAAAAUAAUAUUUCUUACAUACUACAGAGUAUGGAAGAAAAUAUUAUUUCAAGCGAAUAUUGAAUAAAAAUAACAUCCUUUACCUUGAAAAGAAGAGUAUUCCAACUGGAAUAGCGGGGAUAUUCAUAAAGAAAACUUUCACUAUUUUCUAUGCUCAAAGCUUUCUAAAACUCGAAAGAAAUAUGCUCAAUAUUAUAGAAGAAGAAUUCUCUGAUUCUGGUGUGAUUUUCAAUUCUAACUAAGCAUCCUAUUUAAAGAAGAAUGGAAGGAUACUAUUUAGAAAAAAAUUCACGGAUCAACAGNNNNNNNNNNNNNNNNNNNNNNNNNNNNNNNNNNNNNNNNNNNNNNNNNNNNNNNNNNNNNNNNNNNNNNNNNNNNNNNNNNNNNNNNNNNNNNNNNNNNUUCUACCGAUUAUUUUAAAAACGAGAAAAUGGGGGGUCCAUAUAAUAAGCAAAAUUUACACAAAUACUUCAUAAAAAAACCCUCAAUAUUUUUAACAACCUUUAUUCAUAUUAUUAUAACUCGCAAUAUUAACAACCAGAUCAUUCCCAGAAAAGAGGAGGCUUUCCAAUAAGGAUUUCUCCCUAUUGGCGCGCAAUUAGGUGACCAAACCCCUUUCCUCGACAGAAUUUUUUAGAUAUUGUUAAUUAUGCAUAUAAUAAUUAGAAUAACUUGUCAUCUCAAUUAUUGAUUUAAUAAUAUAUAAAAUAUUGAAAAUAAUUGAAUCAAAUAACGUGAGAUACUAUGCAGCAAUUACUGUAGCAAUAAUUGAACAAAACUGAGUGACUUCUCACGUAAGCAUCAAUAAUCAAUACCGUGUGCUACUAUGCAACCACGCGUAUUACUGUACUUUUAACACCGGGUGUUUCAACAGUUAACGGUAAAACUUCCGCCGUUAUUUUCAUAAAGUAUUUUUGUCGUUUUCUCAAUCCGACAAUAAUUCCGUUGUGGGGUCCACCAAUGAUUGUGCCGUUGUACGAAUAUUCCCUGUUAAAACGAAUAUUCCCCGACCAAUCGAAUAUAAUAUAACAACUUGCGUACUUUGCAAAAUUUAUAAAUAUUACCCACAACUAUAACAUUAUAUCAAAUUCACUCCUUAAUAUUCAAAAAUGAUAUUUAUAGAAAAUUCAUCUUUAUUCAUAAAAGUUGGGGUCUUAAAACCUCCCCUUCUUAUGAAGUUUCGCCAUCGAAAUUAGGGUACAUACCUGGUAUGACGAAGAGGUGGGGAUACCUUGAUCUCAUUUCAGAUUCUAACUCCCAGGUCAUUUCCUCAACAUUGUGGUUUCUCCACAAAACUUUGACUUGAGGUAUAACCUUGGAGCGUAAAAUAUGUUCCUUCUUAUCCAAGAUUUUAACAGGAACCUCUUCAUACGUUAAAUCUUUCGCUAUUUCGUCCGAUUCCAACUCAAUAAUGUGGUUUGGGUCUUCCAUAUAUUUACGUAACAUGGAUAUGUGAACAACGUUAUGAACACGAGACAUACUUGGCGAUAAGGCGAGUCUAUAGGCCACAAUUCCUACUCGGUCAAGAAUUUCAAAUGGACCAAUGAAUCGAGGAUUGAGCUUUCCUUUCUUUCCAAAUCUCGUAACUCCCUUCCAUGGAGAAACACGUAACAACACAUGUUCUCCAACAUUGAAUUUCACGUCCUUCCGAUGAAGAUCAACAUAACUCUUUUGUCGAUCUUGUGAGGUUUUUAUAUAUUGUCGGAUCAUUUGAAUCUUCUCUGUAGUCAUACGUACUAGUUCCGGUCCCAACAACGUUCCUUCACCCACCUCGUCCCAGCAUACUAGAGAACGACACUUUCUUCCAUACAACGCCUCAAAUGGAGCCAUACCAUUACUUGCUUGAUAACUGUUGUUGUAGAAAAACUCCGCCAAUUGUAAGAACUUGUCCCAACUUUCCUUGAAGUCAAGGACACAGAGUCUUAUAUAGAUCCUCAAGAGUUUGAAUAGUCCUCUCCUACUGUCCGUCCGUUUGAGGAUGAUACGCCGAACUAAAUCGUAAAUCCGUGCCCAUAGCUUUUUGCAAACUAACUCAAAAUCGUGAAGUGAAUCUUGGGUCUCGAUCAGAAACAAUGGAUACUGGCAUACCAUGCAGUCUUACAAUCUCGUUUAUGUACAUACGAGCAAAACGUUCAAGUGUAUAAGUUUCUCGUAUAGGUAAGAAAUGAGCAGACUUGGUCAAUCUAUCAACAAUGACCCAAAUUGCAUUUAUGCCUUGAGAAACACAAAGACAACCAUGUGGUAUCCAGCCGAUCACACAAAGAUUUGAUUUGAGAAAUCCCCAAAACUGUGUGGUAAGCCACUAAUCCAAUAUUAUUUCAAACUUAAAAUUACCUUCAUCCAAGACAACCAUGUGCUUCCUUUUUUUGGAAAACUUGGUUGAAUUUUGUAAGCCAUUUUGCUCAUCUGUAAACUGAGAAGCGGUUCUAGCACGUAAUUCUUCUAAACUGUCACCUUAUUUUACUCUCUCCAAGACCUAAAAGUUAGGUAGGCGAUUAGAGAUGAAUAUCAAUGUAUGUAAGCAUAUACAUGUUUCCUCAGCAAAAGGAAGAAGACAUAGACGCCCAUACAAAUGGGUGCUUGAAAGAGCUUUAAUAGCAUUCUAGGCUUCCUGCUUUGUAACAUACUCCACAAAAGCAAAGCCUCUAUGGUUCCCAAACUUCAUUGGGAGCCUUAAGCUCUUAAUUUGCAAAUAUAAAGGAAAAGUAACAUUAAAAAACGAAAAAAAAAUGAGAGUUAGAUUUUGAAGCAAUUAAAUUCACUAAAAUAAAUAAGCCUCGUGAAUAUAAAUUAACCGAAUAAGAUAGGAAAGAAAGAAAUCAUUUAAGACCUCUUCUCAUGUCAAAAGAUGCUAAGUUCAGUGACACAAAAUACAUGAUUCAGGACCAAAGAAGUUGUCUCAACCCUUCAUCUACUUUAGCAGUCUUAUAUCACUCACCACUAAUAUUGAAUUGAAUGAUCAAGACAUGUCCAGUAUUUGCUAAAAUGGCUAACAACAAAAUGGUGCACCCAAACCACUCGGAGAUAGAUAAACUAAUGAUAUCAUGAAAGAUCUUCGUCGACUACUCUCUAGUUGAUAGCUUACACUCAUUUGCAAUCCAAAAUAUAUAUAUAUAUAGUUGGUGUUCUCUUCUGCAAGAAUCACUUUGGGCCUACACACUCGCAGACAAAUAAUUAGUCCACUUGAGGCCAACUUACCUCAAAAAAGUAAUCACAUUGAUAUUCACUAGUAAAAUGGGGACGGAGACGAAGACGAAUAAGAGGAAAGGGAUACAAAAAGGUACAAAGUUUUGACAUCUAAUUAAAGUGUAAUAACAUGGUCUAAGUACAUUCUACAAAUAUAUACAUUCAAACCUACUACUAAAGUUUGACUCAAGCAUGACCCAUCAAUGAUCCCUGAUAGGUCACUACUCAUAACUGGAACAUGGAAUUGGGGCUUUUGUAAGGUAUGAAGCUAAUUUGUAUUUAGUUUAUAUCCAGUCACAAAUAUGUUGGAUAAAUUAUAUAUACACACACACCAUAUUGUACUAUCAAAUUACAGCCUUUUCCAGUCACUGAAAUAUGGUAUGAAUGCUAGAAACAUUUGAUUACACCUUUUUUAGUUGCGUAAUCCUUUGUGUUUGCUUCAACGUACAUGAGUUAUUUUUGUUCAAGAAAUAUAAUGUAGGCUUAAUAAUCAUUCAAAAACACUAAUCAUUAAUUCCAGCUCCAUAUUCAAAUCCAAAAUAACUAAUCAAACUCAGAAUGAUCAAACUCUCAGUAAUGAUUCCAAAUGAUCAAUUCUCAUCAAAUUAAUAAUAAUAAAAUAAUAAAAUGAUAUUGAUUCACUUAGGAACAAAAGACUACAUAAUAUAUUUGCAGUAAGGAGUUUGCCCUCUUUGUGGAUUGUAAAAACUUAAAUGGGCUAAAAAUUGUUGAUAAAACAAGGUUAAAAAGAUUCACAUGAUGGAGAUGCUUAUCCUCAUUACCUCAACUUACAGUAAUUAGCUGUAAAGCCUAAUAUGGUUUUCCCAACAAAGGUAUCGAGGAAAUAAUAGGAUUUGCUUUUUUCACAAGAUAAAGCCAAUCUUACCUGUAACCAUAUACUCAGAAUCAAUUAGGAUAUUCGAAGGCUCAGAAUCAAUCAGGAUGAGGGAGAUUAUCGCAACAUCUUCGUAUCAGGGUUUGGUAUCGCAUCAUAGGAUGAGGGAGAUUAUCACAGCAUCUUCAACACAUGGGGUUUGGGGGUUUGGCAUCAAAGAUCUUCGCAUCAAAGAAGAAAUCGCAUAAGAAAUUGAUGCACAUCAAAGAAGAAAUCGCAAUCACAUAAGAAAUCGCAUGGGGUUUGGCGGUUUGGGUUUCGUAGUAGGGGUUUGAAAAGAGUCAUACACUAGAUCAACUAGCGGAUGUGUAGUGGGUAAUUUGGUCCGAAACUUUUUUUAGA
rnacentral:lncRNA from 1 species